rnacentral:rRNA from 1 species
CAAAAGCUUGGUCCUGACUUUACUAUCAACUCUAGCUAAACUUACACAUGCAAGUAUCCGCACCCCUGUGAGAAUGCCCUAUGGUCCCCGCCCGGGAACAAGGAGCUGGUAUCAGGUACAACCAUGUUAGCCCACGACACCUUGCUUAGCCACACCCCCAAGGGAACUCAGCAGUGAUAGACAUUAAGCCAUGAGUGAAAACUUGACUUAGUCAAAGCUAAGUAGGGCCGGUAAAACUCGUGCCAGCCACCGCGGUUAUACGAGGGGCCCAAGUUGAUAGACACCGGCGUAAAGGGUGGUUAGGAU